rnacentral:rRNA from 1 species
UUUGGAAACGAAUGCUAAUACCGCAUAACAACUUUAAACACAAGUUUUAAGUUUGAAAGAUGCAAUUGCAUCACUCAAAGAUGAUCCCGCGUUGUAUUAGCUAGUUGGUGAGGUAAAGGCUCACCAAGGCGAUGAUACAUAGCCGACCUGAGAGGGUGAUCGGCCACAUUGGGACUGAGACACGGCCCAAACUCCUACGGGAGGCAGCAGUAGGGAAUCUUCGGCAAUGGACGAAAGUCUGACCGAGCAACGCCGCGUGAGUGAAGAAGGUUUUCGGAUCGUAAAACUCUGUUGGUAGAGAAGAACGUUGGUGAGAGUGGAAAGCUCAUCAAGUGACGGUAACUACCCAGAAAGGGACGGCUAACUACGUGCCAGCAGCCGCGGUAAUACGUAGGUCCCGAGCGUUGUCCGGAUUUAUUGGGCGUAAAGCGAGCGCAGGUGGUUUAUUAAGUCUGGUGUAAAAGGCAGUGGCUCAACCAUUGUAUGCAUUGGAAACUGGUAGACUUGAGUGCAGGAGAGGAGAGUGGAAUUCCAUGUGUAGCGGUGAAAUGCGUAGAUAUAUGGAGGAACACCGGUGGCGAAAGCGGCUCUCUGGCCUGUAACUGACACUGAGGCUCGAAAGCGUGGGGAGCAAACAGGAUUAGAUACCCUGGUAGUCCACGCCGUAAACGAUGAGUGCUAGAUGUAGGGAGCUAUAAGUUCUCUGUAUCGCAGCUAAC